GACGAACCGUCCUAACGUUGUUCGGAAUCACUGGGCUUAAAGGGCGCGUAGGCGGGCUGACCAGUCCGGGGUGAAAUCGUUCGGCUUAACCGGACAAGGGCCUCGGAAACUGUCAGCCUCGAGGGAGCUAGGGGCCUGCGGAACUUCGGGUGGAGCGGUGAAAUGCGUUGAUAUCCGAAGGAACGCCGGUGGCGAAAGCGGCAGGCUGGAUCUCUUCUGACGCUGAGGCGCGAAAGCCAGGGGAGCAAACGGG
rnacentral:rRNA from 1 species